rnacentral:rRNA from 1 species
CGCACAGUAAACGAUGACAACUGGCUGUCGGCGAUAUACCGAUCGGUAGCGAAGCGAAAGCGUUAAGUUGUCCACCUGGGGAGUACGACCGCAAGGUUGAAACUCAAAGGAAUUGACGGG